rnacentral:rRNA from 1 species
GAUGAACGCUGGCGGCGUGCCUAAUACAUGCAAGUCGAGCGAACAGAUGAGGAGCUUGCUCCUCUGACGUUAGCGGCGGACGGGUGAGUAACACGUGGAUAACCUACCUAUAAGACUGGGAUAACUUCGGGAAACCGGAGUUAUCACCGGAAAAUAUAUUGAACCGCAUGGCUCAAUAGUGAAAGACGGUUUUGCUUUCACUUUUAGAUGGAUCCGAGUCGCAUUAGCUAGUUGGUAAGGUAACGGCUUAACAAGGCAACGAUGCGUAGCCGACCUGAGAGGGUGAUCGGGCACACUGGAGCUGAGACACGGUCCAGACUCCUACGGGAGGCAGCAGUAGAGAAUCUUCCGCAAUAGGCGAAAGCCUGACAGAGCAACGCCGCGUGAGUGAUGAAGGUCUUCGGAUCGUAAAACUCUGUUAUUAGGGAAGAACUAAUGUGUAAGGAACUAUGCACGUCUUGACGGUACCUAGUCAGAAAGCCACGGCUAACUACGUG